AUGUGUUAUUUAACUACAAUGACCAUAACCCAUUACUCCUGUUCUUCCUGGAUUGGACAGAGAAGUAUAGCCUAUACACAGACACAUGAGAGGAAUGUACACAACCCAAUGACCAGAGGGAUAGAGACAGUUUGUGAGAUCUGCCCAGUUUGGAUAGAGAUGUAAGAACUAUGACAAUGAAUAGCAUUUGGCCCACCAGAAGGGUAAGUAGAGCUAUUAUCCUAUUUGUUAUUUGAUACGGUCCAGUCCUUUGUGAUCAGAGAGAGGGGUAGAGAUAAAGGUAUCGGACUGGAACCCAACCAAGAAACAGCACACACAGGAGCCUCGGUGUAACAUAUACUCUCACAUACCUUCUAUCAUGCAAGCAAAUGUAUCUGUCUGUCUGUCUGUCUGUCUGUCUGUGAGACAACUGUGCUAGUGACGGGGUCGGCCUAAGCACCAGAACUCUGUGUAGUUAGGAACUCCAGUGUCUCUAAUGAUGCAUACUUCCCUCAGUGUAAGACAGCCAGAGGAGAGGGUGCACUAGCCUGUGCUUGUCUGGAGCUGAGAAUGCCCAUUAACACUCUUUCCCCCCUCAGGUGGUGACCACCUGAGCUAUCAAAGACAACCGUGUCUGAAACAACCCCCCCCUCCCCCUACAUAUCCCCUCCUCACAGACCAUAGAUAGUGACAUUGAUAGUGAUAGUCAUGUAAAGUACAGUAAAAACCAAUAAACACCCUACAAUCUCUGCGUUUGUACUUACAGCUUGACACAACUCUUCUGUACAGUAUGAGAAAACAAACUAUCUGCAUUUACUUGAUCCAAUUCACCCAAGAGAGAGAGCUCUACACUUGGGAGGUAGGCCUAAGCUUCUGAAAGAAUCGCAUUCGAUUUUGGUCAUCAUAUUUCUGCUUAUCGUCAUGUCAGGACAAGGAUGCUGAGGUGGCGUCUGAUUAGUAUAAGGAAUGUGUUUGGUUUUUACAUUUUUAUUUAACCCUUAUUUGACCAGGUGAUUUGACUGAGAACACAUUCUCAUUUACAGCAACCACCUGGGGAAUAGUUACAGGGGAGAGGAGGGGGCAUGAAUGAGUCAUUUGGGGUUAUAGUAUAUACGGCUAAAGAUUCCGUCAGGUUCAUUCCAGACAAAUGGAAUUUCAAACAGUCUCAUUAACAUUCAUUUCAUGCUGCCUUGUUUAAAUGUAAACACUGUCAAGGCUUCCCCUGAAACACAAAUGCCAAAACACUACUUGCCUUCUGACCUGGUAUAAUUUUCAUUGGCUUAAUGUCUCCACAUUAUCUAUCCUAGAACUUUCUCUUGUCCCUCUCCCUUCAUUUCAUAACUUCCUGUGACUGUCCUUUGAAACCAUUAUAUCCGCAUGUCUCCUAACUUCCCCUCUCUAGGAUGUGUGAUUCACUGUGUCCCUGAAACACAACACAAGCCAAUCUAGAGCAGCAGAUAAAGCUAAUUGUGGAAAAGGACCAUCGAUCAAGGCCAGUGCACUCAUAAGUACGUGUCGGAUGGCACCUCAAUGGCAGGAAGUGCUUGGGCUUGACUCUAGUGAACACGGAGGGGAGAGCCGCCCAAUACACCCAUGUAGUGUACUGUAGGGUUGGUCACUAUAGCUAAAACUGCUGGCCACUUAUCUUUUUUUUUGUUGUUACCUUUAUUUAACUAGGCAAGUCAGUUA
ensembl:lncRNA